rnacentral:rRNA from 1 species
CCUACGGGAGGCAGCAGUGGGGAAUAUUGGGCAAUGGGCGCAAGCCUGACCCAGCAACGCCGCGUGAAGGAAGACUGCCCUAUGGGUUGUAAACUUCUUUUAUAUGGGAAUAAAAUGUUCCACGUGUGGGAUUUUGUAUGUACCAUAUGAAUAAGGAUCGGCUAACUCCGUGCCAGCAGCCGCGGUAAUACGGAGGAUCCGAGCGUUUUCCGGAUUUAUGGGGUUUAAAGGGCGCGUAGGUGGAGUGUUAAGUCAGUUGUGAAUGUUUGCGGAUCAACCGUAAAAUUGCAGUUGAAACUGGCAGUCUUGAGUACAGUAGAGGUGGGCGGAAUGCGUGGUGUAGCGGUGAAAUGCUUAGAUAUCACGAAGAACUCCGAUUGCGAAGGCAGCUCACUGGACUGCAACUGACACUGAGGCUCGAAAGUGUGGGUAUCAAACAGGAUUAGAUACCCUAGUAGUC